UCCUAAGAAGCCAAAAUAACUACUUUUUCAAAAUCGAGUACUUCCUAUAUGAUCUGAUGAAAAAUUAAAAUACUUGUAAUAUAAAAUUGUAUUCGUGCCACGCCGAAAGUUUCAGCGAUUCCGCACCGUAAUUUCACUCCUAUCGCAUAGCUCGGUCGACAACCCACCGUGUGGUAUGAUUCGGUCGACAACCCAUCGGCACUGGUGGCAUUUUUCGACUUAUAUAGUCAAGCGAGCAGGGCCGGUGCAGCAGACGUAAGGGUGCACUUCGGCCUUUUGUCAAUGAAGCCAUGGACUUCGCGUGAGUCGUCGAUGCUGCUUCUCCAAGGAUUUCCUUACUUGGUUAAUAAUUCCAAGAAAUGACGCUGAAGCGAAGAAAAAUCGAAGAUCAACUAACCGCAAGUUAUCGAAAUCACACCAUGCAGCAGCAGUUGGCCAGUCGGGGAGUCGCAGGACAAGUAAAUAAGGAAAGUCGUGAACGCAAAUUCAGGGUUGUAAAUAUUCAUUACAAUAGUUUUGUAAGUCCCAACUGUAGACAAAACGUUGCAGAUUGAUUGCAUGCAAAAUCUGAUUUUGUUUGGUAUAGAGGAUCGAUCUUCCAACUGUAAUGGAGAACAAUUGUCCAGACAUUCUACAUAAAGUUGAAACUCGAGCUAAAUAAUUGUUGGAGAGGAUUAUAUUAUUUGAAUUUCAA